CAGGUAAUUAUUCAGAAAAGAAAAGCAAUGGAAUUAUUUUCUUGGUUAUUCCUUUAGUGAUACCUGUAUUUCUUCAGUAUCAUAAGUUUAUGCCAGCUAUUGGGAGGACCCUUCAUGCCAUGAUCAUAUUAACAGUCGUUCAGGCAUUGGGCUUUGCACUCGCUCUGUUAGGACUAUAUUUUUCUAUAAAUGAGUGUCCACCAAAAUAUGGUCCCCUUCUAGUCACAGGUUUGUUCAUAGUAACUCUGGUAGAAUUACUUGGAUUAAUUUACAUGAAAUGGCUAGACUCACUAAGUGGUUUGAAUGAGACAUGAAGGGACAUUGCUAGCAGUGUUCUUUCUUCCUCGUUUUCACAUUGUCUCAUGGCUCUCAAGGGGUAUAUAAGCCUUAGAGGAAGGAUAAAGUCAUAGAAUAGAGAAUACAGAAGAAGAAUAAAGAAAAACUCCGAAGGAAACCAUCAAGAAGGAACCCUAAAUCCAACAGUUCUCGUCCAGACCAGGAUGUAAGAUGCUUGCACUCUUCCAAGUGCCAUUGGGUCUUCUGCUGUUUUUCUCAUCACUGGAAUCACCUUAUUGUUCUCCGAAGACACUGUUUUCUCCAAGCCAGUGUGGACUUAGGAGUUCCUUCAAGUUCCAACUAGGAUGCUAGACCAAGGCUAGUUUGCAGCCUUAAUUAUUACUCUGUAAAAGGUCUAAUUCCUUGAUUGUAACAGAAAAUAAUAGAAACUUAAAAUCUG